GAUGAACGCUGGCGGCGUGCUUAACACAUGCAAGUCGAACGGUGAAGCCAAGCUUGCUUGGUGGAUCAGUGGCGAACGGGUGAGUAACACGUGAGCAACCUGCCCUGGACUCUGGGAUAAGCGCUGGAAACGGCGUCUAAUACUGGAUAUGAGACGUGAUCGCAUGGUCGUGUUUGGAAAGAUUUUUCGGUCUGGGAUGGGCUCGCGGCCUAUCAGCUUGUUGGUGAGGUAAUGGCUCACCAAGGCGUCGACGGGUAGCCGGCCUGAGAGGGUGACCGGCCACACUGGGACUGAGACACGGCCCAGACUCCUACGGGAGGCAGCAGUGGGGAAUAUUGCACAAUGGGCGAAAGCCUGAUGCAGCAACGCCGCGUGAGGGAUGACGGCCUUCGGGUUGUAAACCUCUUUUAGCAGGGAAGAAGCGAAAGUGACGGUACCUGCAGAAAAAGCGCCGGCUAACUACGUGCCAGCAGCCGCGGUAAUACGUAGGGCGCAAGCGUUAUCCGGAAUUAUUGGGCGUAAAGAGCUCGUAGGCGGUUUGUCGCGUCUGCUGUGAAAUCCCGAGGCUCAACCUCGGGCCUGCAGUGGGUACGGGCAGACUAGAGUGCGGUAGGGGAGAUUGGAAUUCCUGGUGUAGCGGUGGAAUGCGCAGAUAUCAGGAGGAACACCGAUGGCGAAGGCAGAUCUCUGGGCCGUAACUGACGCUGAGGAGCGAAAGGGUGGGGAGCAAACAGGCUUAGAUACCCUGGUAGUCCACCCCGUAAACGUUGGGAACUAGUUGUGGGGACCAUUCCACGGUUUCCGUGACGCAGCUAAUGCAUUAAGUUCCCCGCCUGGGGAGUACGGCCGCAAGGCUAAAACUCAAAGGAAUUGACGGGGACCCGCACAAGCGGCGGAGCAUGCGGAUUAAUUCGAUGCAACGCGAAGAACCUUACCAAGGCUUGACAUAUACGAGAACGGGCCAGAAAUGGUCAACUCUUUGGACACUCGUAAACAGGUGGUGCAUGGUUGUCGUCAGCUCGUGUCGUGAGAUGUUGGGUUAAGUCCCGCAACGAGCGCAACCCUCGUUCUAUGUUGCCAGCACGUAAUGGUGGGAACUCAUGGGAUACUGCCGGGGUCAACUCGGAGGAAGGUGGGGAUGACGUCAAAUCAUCAUGCCCCUUAUGUCUUGGGCUUCACGCAUGCUACAAUGGCCGGUACAAAGGGCUGCAAUACCGUGAGGUGGAGCGAAUCCCAAAAAGCCGGUCCCAGUUCGGAUUGAGGUCUGCAACUCGACCUCAUGAAGUCGGAGUCGCUAGUAAUCGCAGAUCAGCAACGCUGCGGUGAAUACGUUCCCGGGUCU
rnacentral:rRNA from 1 species